GGUUNCAGCCUUGCUGAAUUAUUCACCCUUGUCUUUUGCGUACUUCUUGUUUCCUUGGUGGGUUCGCCCACCACUAGGACAAACAUAAACCUUUUGUAAUUGCAAUCAGCGUCAGUAACAAAUUAAUAAUUACAACUUUCAACAACGGAUCUCUUGGUUCUGGCAUCGAUGAAGAACGCAGCGAAAUGCGAUAAGUAGUGUGAAUUGCAGAAUUCAGUGAAUCAUCGAAUCUUUGAACGCACAUUGCGCCCUUUGGUAUUCCAAAGGGCAUGCCUGUUCGAGCGUCAUUUGUACCCUCAAGCUUUGCUUGGUGUUGGGCGUCUUGUCUCUAGCUUUGCUGGAGACUCGCCUUAAAGUAAUUGGCAGCCGGCCUACUGGUUUCGGAGCGCAGCACAAGUCGCACUCUCUAUCAGCAAAGGUCUAGCAUCCAUUAAGCCUUUUUUUNCAACUUUUGACCUCGGAUCAGGUAGGGAUACCCGCUGAACUUAAGCAUAUCAAUAANGCNNGGAG
rnacentral:rRNA from 1 species